rnacentral:rRNA from 1 species
GGCGGCAGGCUUAACACAUGCAAGUCGAGCGAGACCUUCGGGUCUAGCGGCGGACGGGUUAGUAACGCGUGGGAACGUGCCCUUCACUACGGAAUAGUCCCGGGAAACUGGGUUUAAUACCGUAUACGCCCUUUCGGGGGGAAAGAAUUUCGGUGAAGGAUCGGCCCGCGUCUGAUUAGAUAGUUGGUGGGGUAAUGGCCUACCAAGUCUACGAUCAGUAGCUGGUUUUAGAGGAUGAUCAGCAACACUGGGACUGAGACACGGCCCAGACUCCUACGGGAGGCAGCAGUGGGGAAUCUUGGACAAUGGGCGCAAGCCUGAUCCAGCCAUGCCGCGUGUGUGAUGAAGGCCUUAGGGUCGUAAAGCACUUUCGCCUGUGAUGAUAAUGACAGUAGCAGGUAAAGAAACCCCGGCUAACUCCGUGCCAGCAGCCGCGGUAAUACGGAGGGGGUUAGCGUUGUUCGGAAUUACUGGGCGUAAAGCGCGCGUAGGCGGACAUUUAAGUCAGAGGUGAAAUCCCGGGGCUCAACCCCGGAACGGCCUUUGAUACUGGGUGUCUUGAGUUCGAGAGAGGUGAGUGGAAUUCCGAGUGUAGAGGUGAAAUUCGUAGAUAUUCGGAGGAACACCAGUGGCGAAGGCGGCUCACUGGCUCGAUACUGACGCUGAGGUGCGAAAGUGUGGGGAGCAAACAGGAUUAGAUACCCUGGUAGUCCACACCGUAAACGAUGAAUGCCAGUCGUCGGGUAGCAUGCUAUUCGGUGACACACCUAACGGAUUAAGCA